rnacentral:sRNA from 1 species
AUCGCCCGCGGAAGCUUAUCGGAUACGAAUUGAAUUUCAAACUUCCACGAAGCGAGGCCGCAUGGCAGAGCAAAUAAGGAACACAUUUUA